rnacentral:rRNA from 1 species
AUGCACGCUGGCGGCGUGCCUCAUACAUGCAAGUCGAGCGAACAGACGAGGAGCUUGCUCCUCUGACGUUAGCGGCGGACGGGUGAGUAACACGUGGAUAACCUACCUAUAAGACUGGGAUAACUUCGGGAAACCGGAGCUAAUACCGGAUAAUAUAUUGAACCGCAUGGUUCAAUAGUGAAAGACGGUUUUGCUGUCACUUAUAGAUGGAUCCCCGCCGCAUUAGCUAGUUGGUAAGGUAACGGCUUACCAAGGCGACGAUGCGUAGCCGACCUGAGAGGGUGAUCGGCCACACUGGGACUGAAACGCGGUCCAGACUCCUACGGGAGGCAGCAGUAGGGAAUCUUCCGCAAUGGGAGAAAGCCUGACGGAGCAACGCCGCGUGAGUGAUGAAGGUCUUCGGAUCGUAAAACUCUGUUAUUAGGAAAGAGCAAAUGUGUAAGUAACUAUGCUCGUCUUGACGGUACCUAAUCAGAAGGCCACGGCUAACUACGUG